rnacentral:rRNA from 1 species
GGGCCCGCACAAGCGGUGGAGCAUGUGGCUUAAUUCGAUGCAACGCGCAGAACCUUACCAGUCCUUGACAUGGGUAGUUUGGAUAUUGGAGACAAUUUCCUUCAGUUCGGCUGGCUACCACACAGGUGCUGCAUGGCUGUCGUCAGCUCGUGUCGUGAGAUGUUGGGUUAAGUCCCGCAACGAGCGCAACCCUCAUCUUUAGUUGCCAUCGGUUCGGCCGGGCACUCUAGAGAAACUGCCUGCGAUGAGCAGGAGGAAGGCGGGGAUGACGUCAAGUCCUCAUGGCCCUUAUGGACUGGGCUACACACGUGCUACGAUGGCGGUGACAAUGGGCAGCGAGAGGGCGACCUUGAGCAAAUCCCCAAAAACCGUCCCAGUUCGGAUUGUACUCUGCAACUCGAGUGCAUG